GCCCGCUCAGAAACUUAAAGGAAUUGAGGGGACCCCGCACAAGCGGUGGAUCAUGUUGUUUAAUUCGAUGAUACGCGAAGAACCUUACCAGGUCUUGACAUCCCCCGCGAUGCUUUAGAGAUAAAGCGGAGGUAUUCGGGGAGACAGGUGGUGCAUGGUUGUCGUCAGCUCGUGUCGUGAGAUGUUGGGUUAAGUCCCGCAACGAGCGCAACCCCUAUUGCUAGUUACCAUCAUUAAGUUGGGGACUCUAGCGAGACUGCCAGUGAUAAACUGGAGGAAGGUGGGGAUGACGUCAAAUCAUCAUGCCCCUUAUGACCUGGGCUACAAACGUGAUACAAUGGCUGGAACAAAGGGAUGCGAAGCAGUGAUGUGGAGCGAAACCCAUAAAAACAGUCUCAGUUCGGAUUGAAGUCCGCAACUCGACUUCAUGAAGUCGGAAUCGCUAGUAAUCGCGGAUCAGAACGCCGCGGUGAAUACGUUCUCGGGGUUU
rnacentral:rRNA from 1 species